rnacentral:rRNA from 1 species
UUCGGCACCGGCGUCAGCUCCGCCUUCUUUGCCUCGCUCGAGCGCUACUCCUGCAUCAACCUCUCCACCGACGACGAUGAUGACGACGAGGAAGAGGCCAAUGACCGCCCCCUCAUGUUGGCCGCCUACUUCGAUCAGCACCACCACGACGCCGCCCCCGCCCCCGCCCCCGCCGAUGCCUGCAAGGAGGAGACGGUGACUCACCCACGCAACUCAAAUAUGAAGUUUAACCCUUUUAUCUGUAUUCUUGCAUGUAAAGAAAGCUAG